GAUGAACGCUAGCUACAGGCUUAACACAUGCAAGUCGAGGGGCAGCAUUUUAGUUUGCUUGCAAACUAAAGAUGGCGACCGGCGCACGGGUGAGUAACACGUAUCCAACCUGCCGAUAACUCGGGGAUAGCCUUUCGAAAGAAAGAUUAAUAUCCGAUGGUAUAUUAAAACCGCAUGGUUUUACUAUUAAAGAAUUUCGGUUAUCGAUGGGGAUGCGUUCCAUUAGUUUGUUGGCGGGGUAACGGCCCACCAAGACUACGAUGGAUAGGGGUUCUGAGAGGAAGGUCCCCCACAUUGGAACUGAGACACGGUCCAAACUCCUACGGGAGGCAGCAGUGAGGAAUAUUGGUCAAUGGACGAGAGUCUGAACCAGCCAAGUAGCGUGAAGGAUGACUGCCCUAUGGGUUGUAAACUUCUUUUAUAUGGGAAUAAAGUAUUCCACGUGUGGGAUUUUGUAUGUACCAUAUGAAUAAGGAUCGGCUAACUCCGUGCCAGCAGCCGCGGUAAUACGGAGGAUCCGAGCGUUAUCCGGAUUUAUUGGGUUUAAAGGGAGCGUAGGUGGAUUGUUAAGUCAGUUGUGAAAGUUUGCGGCUCAACCGUAAAAUUGCAGUUGAAACUGGCAGUCUUGAGUACAGUAGAGGUGGGCGGAAUUCGUGGUGUAGCGGUGAAAUGCUUAGAUAUCACGAAGAACUCCGAUUGCGAAGGCAGCUCACUAGACUGCAACUGACACUGAUGCUCGAAAGUGUGGGUAUCAAACAGGAUUAGAUACCCUGGUAGUCCACACAGUAAACGAUGAAUACUCGCUGUUUGCGAUAUACAGUAAGCGGCCAAGCGAAAGCAUUAAGUAUUCCACCUGGGGAGUACGCCGGCAACGGUGAAACUCAAAGGAAUUGACGGGGGCCCGCACAAGCGGAGGAACAUGUGGUUUAAUUCGAUGAUACGCGAGGAACCUUACCCGGGCUUAAAUUGCAUUUGAAUAAUCUGGAAACAGGUUAGCCGUAAGGCAAAUGUGAAGGUGCUGCAUGGUUGUCGUCAGCUCGUGCCGUGAGGUGUCGGCUUAAGUGCCAUAACGAGCGCAACCCUUAUCUUUAGUUACUAACAGGUCAUGCUGAGGACUCUAGAGAGACUGCCGUCGUAAGAUGUGAGGAAGGUGGGGAUGACGUCAAAUCAGCACGGCCCUUACGUCCGGGGCUACACACGUGUUACAAUGGGGGGUACAGAAGGCAGCUACCUGGUGACAGGAUGCUAAUCCCAAAAACCUCUCUCAGUUCGGAUCGAAGUCUGCAACCCGACUUCGUGAAGCUGGAUUCGCUAGUAAUCGCGCAUCAGCCAUGGCGCGGUGAAUACGUUCCCGGGCCU
rnacentral:rRNA from 1 species